ensembl:antisense Gm26703 predicted gene, 26703
CUAGAGACUGCGGACUUAGGCGGUUUUACAUAAGCUUUAGCGAGCACCGGAAGAAGCAAGCUGGUAAGUAAUUGAAAUGCGGACCAGAACUUGUGCCUGGGGCUACUCGCAGAGUCAGCAGGAUUUCAAAGAUUCACUGGUCCACAGUUAAGCCAUGAUUCUUCUGAGGCCUUUUAUUCUCAUCCCUGCCAGCGCUGACCUCCCUCAUGAGGAGCAUGAAGUGCAGGGUGGGUGUUUAGCAGGAUCGUUUUAUUAUCCUCUCCAACCACAGGGGAAACUGAGGCUUUUGAAACGCAGGUUGGAUGCUGAGUAAUCACGGCUGUGUGUGUCAACAAGCAAGGGAGGUGACCGCCAUUUCUCCUUCCCCUUAAGGGUUGUUUGCCCUUGCACCCAUGAGAGAUGGCUUCUGCUUCAGUUCUUUGCUUCAAUACCUCCUAUUCACUGAAUCCUUAAAGGAAACAUUUAGCUACCGCUGCACAUAAGUUGGUUGCAUAAUAGGAAAGAAACAAGCCAGGGCUGGAGACCUCAUCUCCACGGAAGCAUUGUAAGGCCAGUGAGGGCUGUUUUACAGAGCCAGCCAUGACUUGGGACUCCCUCUAUACCCUUUCAUCACCAUGACAACAGGCAGCUCCUACUUCACACAUCCAGGAAAAGCAGCUGACAUCUCAAUGCUAGGAACACAGGGGAGAGGUUUACAAAAAAAAACCACAACAACCACCACCAAAAAAGCCUUUUUGUUUGCCUGUCAACAGAGAGAACACCCCCCCAGAGGCGACUGCAAAGCCAGGGUGAAAGGACAGAAGGAUCACUGCAGCAGAUGCGUUUUUAUAUUGCUCGAUUGGAAGCUGUCCUCAUGACCGCAGUCUGAACGUUAACAGAGAACCGUUCCGGCUGCUUUAACCGUCCUACUCGUAAGCAGCUCUGGAAAAUGAAGUUGCUGCUCUUUAGAACAUGCUGAUUUAGAGAAGCUGUGAUUCAUAGCCUGCUCUUGCCCAGCCCAGUCAGUCAUCCUCUGUAAGACUAUGAUGGCACCGGGCUGUACAAGAAGAGGUCUUCCUGGGUGCUUAUUUCUGACUUUGCACUGUGGCAUUCAUUUAUUGAGGCAUGUAAAUAUUUAUUUAUUUAUUUACCUGGCCCCUAGCUAAUCUGGAACCCACAGAGAUCCGUCUGCCUCUGCCUCCUGGGUACUAAGUUUAAAGGAGCAGCAGUAGGCCUGGCUCUGCUUCUGUAUGUAUGUGUGUAAUCAUUUCAAUGGUUGUGUCUGUAUUUAUUGCACAUUUAUCGUGUGUCGGACCCUGUGCUAACAGCUUUCAAUGCAUCGUGUCCGUGGAGUCUGACAAGUCUUUGGAGGUUUUACUACGUUCCCAUUUUAAAGAUAGUACAGAGUAAUGUUAACUGUACAGGAUUUAAGGCCAGGCAGCUUGGAUUUUCUUCUUGACUUUCCCACACCCUAACUGUACACCCAGGAGCUAGUAAUAACCUCUUUCAGCAUCUGCUUUCUUAUUUAUAAAAUGAGGCUACAGAUAUGGGAGGAGUGAUUAUAAGGUCUAUCACAGGCAAUUGUUCUGAGUUUCAAUAAUUUGAUGCAAACCAACUGCAUAAAACUCCUGCCAUGUAGUAGACACUCAACAAAUGUUAACUAUUUUGGUUUAUGUCAGACGACAGCAAUGUUCGCUUUCUCCCGGGUCUCUAACUGUAAUAGCAAGGUGGUACUCUCCUUGCCUCCCGCCUGUGUUAGCCAACUGAGCAGGCAUUUCGCUGAGGAGGUGAUGCUGCCCCACCCCCCCUCUCCAGGUGACUAGCCCAAAUGCUUCUGAUACUAUACACUCUCCACUAACACUGGAUGAGAAGUUGUUAUUUAACGUAAUUUAGGCUCUCUGAGUGUGUGACAAAGUCAACAGGCAACCAGACUGAUAAAAGCAAAAGCCAAGUGAAGCAAAUAAAAACCCUGAGCUAUAAAAGUUUGCAGACGUGCCUCAGCCCGUUUGCUCUACGGACCCCAGAACAUUUGUCGCACUGAUUUUCAGAAAGAGAAAGGUAACAGAACUUAUCUCUGUCGUGCAGCAGGGAAGUCUGGGAGCAGAGGAAGCCGGGCAGUGAGCCAGAGCCCUUCCAGCUGGGAAGGGCGCACGUGUCUGGGAUCAGGAUUAUAGAAAGGGCUGAGGAUGUGACGUCUUGAAGCCUCAGACAAUGGGAUGUUUUUUCCUCAGCUCAGGUUUGGAGUGUGAGCAGCUCCUCUGAGGAAGGGACAAGGGUUUGUUUCUUCCAGGGCCUCUGUACACAUCUGCACGCUUCUCUCUGGUCUUAGCAGCAGAGGAUGCAGGCGCCAUUCUGCGAUGGUGUCCAGAGGGAUCAUGGAGCGGCGAGACCAGCCAGGCCAUAUGGAAAAUGAUUUGACUUUUUUGGUUAAAGAAUUUUCUCAAAGACUUCGAACAUUAACUUAUUUUAACUAGCAUUCUCCAUUUAUUUGAGACGGCUUUAUGAGUUUGAUUCCACGUAAUGAGAUUAAUUCCAUGAGAACAAAGAGAAAGAUUUAGUUGGAGAGUGCUAAAAAAAACCCAAAACAUCUUGACCCAACUCAAAUUUUUUUUCUAAUACUGAAUUUGACAUAUUUGUUGGAAUGCUGAAAACAAAGUUCCUUGCAGACAGAUUGUUCACGGAAAACUGGAAUUAAGGCCUAAAUGUAAUUUAUGUCUGAUGAGAGCAGGUCUCAUUUCUAAGAUUGGAGAUUUUCACUCAGUUGUAUGACUAGAGAGAUCUCCUGUUCAGGGAUGAGAACUUCAGGGCACUGUAAUAUAUAAUGACAAACUCACACACAGGAUGUAAGAGAAUACUGACU